GAAAGAACUCUGCCAGGGCUCUCCGCUCUCUUCGGAAGGUGGAGGAUCUUUCUCCUGUGGCUUCCAUGGACUCCCAGGGCGUAGAACAGGCAGAUCCUCAGAUCCCUGUUUGUGAUAGAAUCUUGAGACCCUGCAGAAUAUUCACAGAUGAAACGAACGGUGGCAUAGAGCACACCCCUUCCCCUUUGUGGAGAAGUGUGCACCACCCUGCCCUCAGAAACCUUCGAGAAUUAAAUAGUUAAAUUUCUGUCAUACACAAUCAAAAGACCAUUGGAUUAACAUCUUGAGCUGCAGUGCAGAAUAAUGUCAUUGAGAAAGCUCUAGAAUUGGAAGAGAAGAAAGAAUUUCAAGCUUUGACAUAACUUAUGAGCAUUCAAUAAGAGUGAGUAAUUUAGAUUCUUUACCACUUUCAUUAUUGUAAAAUAAAGAUAUCAACUUUUGCUCAUCUCAUAAAUCUUGAGGAAGUUCAGUAAAAGCAGUGUAUGCAAUGGACUUUGCUAUAUAGGAUUACAUUUUGUAGUUGCAGUAACAGAUAGAUGGAGUCCUGGAGUUUUUACGUUCUAAUACUGUUGAGAAAUACACCUGUAAGUUCUCAGUAUUCACCUGCCUUUAUGCGUAAACAUCACAAACUCAUGAGUAAGCUUGUGAACAAGAUAGAAUAGAAAAUAACAGGUGGAAUCUUUCCAUUUAUAGUACACACAUCUGAUGGUUUAUUGGAUAUAUAAUUGCUAAGUUUUCCUAGCAGAGUGAUUGAUGACAAACUUUAAAACUAUGCUCUGUGAAAUUACCAGUGCUUUUUUGCUGCUGAGAAGCAUACUAAUGCAGCUCGAAGGAGGAAAUUUUCAGGACAUUUUCAAGUCUCUCACAUGGACUUCAUGGACUAAUUCAGUGAGUAUUAGCCCUUCUGCUGCAUUGUGAAAGGUUCUUGCCUGCCCUUGAAUUUUUGAACUUGCCUAUGUAUGAUUUGAUGUGUAAUCCAGAUAGCAAAUAAAAUAAACACAUUAUUCCUUCUACUUAAUUUUAAUAUUAUGUACUGUAUUGGUAACUUCAGUCUUCUAGAAAAUGUUUAAAAUAUGUUGGCAUUCAACUGGAAGCAGCAGCUGAAUUUUCUGUUAAAAAUUCAGACUCUAAUAUUGGUUUGGGUGAUGAGGUGAUUGGUAAUGAUAUCUGGAGCUCUGUCCCAGCUCUUGGAGUGCUGAAGUUAGAGCUGUCUACCCCGUGUUCAUUGAUUUCUAAACUGAGUAGCUGGGCCCUUGUCUGGGUUCAGUGAUCCACAGCAGAAACAACAUGAAGGCUGAAGCCAUGACUGUAAUAUGUGUGAUCUGGUCAGAGACGGCCUACGUGGGCCAUGCCUUGAAACUGAUCCACUUUUCUCCAAGGCAGAGUUGAGACACUGAUACAGAAAUAUGACCCAGGUGAUGUCUUAAGGGCUGGAGCUGAUCUCAUUUCAAUUUCCAUUCCUUUUUUUUUUGAGACUGAGUUUCACUUUUGUUACCCAGGCUGGAGUGCAAUGGCGCGAUCUCGGCUCACCGCAACCUCCACCUCCUGGGUUCAGGCAAUUCUCCUGCCUCAACCUCCCGAGUAGCUGGGAUUACAGGCACACGCCACCAUGCCCAGCUAAUUUUUUAUAUUUUUAGUAGAGACGGGAUUUCACCAUGUUGACCAGCAUGGUCUCGAUCUCUUGACCUCGUGAUCCACCCACCUCGGCCUCCCAAAGUGCUGGGAUUACACGUUUGAGCCACAAUUUCCAUUUCUUAAAUGUACCCAUGCAAUGCCUUUAAAUCCAGCCACAGAAAAGAGCAAAGGAAGAUCUCACUGGUUUUCUUCUUGGUCUUGUUGUUGUGGCAGGAAAGCACUUAACAACUGAAAUCAUAUUCUGUGCAUGUUGAGAGUCUGUCCAGUUCGAUCAAGUGUAAUCUGAUUGCAAGCCCGAGCCACCUGAGGCCUGCAAGAGGCAGAUACUGUCACGACUCAAUUUUCCACAAUCGUC
ensembl:lncRNA